rnacentral:rRNA from 1 species
UACGUAGGGUGCGAGCGUUGUCCGGAAUUAUUGGGCGUAAAGGGCUCGUAGGCGGUCUGUCGCGUCGGGAGUGAAAACUCAGGGCUUAACCCUGAGCCUGCUUCCGAUACGGGCAGACUAGAGGUAUGCAGGGGAGAACGGAAUUCCUGGUGUAGCGGUGAAAUGCGUAGAUAUUGGGAGGAACACCAGUGGCGAAGGCGGCUCACUGGACCGGUUCUGACGCUGAUGCGCGAAAGCGUGGGGAGCAAACGGG